GGGAGCGCAAGAUUUCGACGGGGACGUCGACGAUGGAGUCGCAGGCCGAGGCGCCGCGGGCCUCGUAAAAAAGCGGCAACCUGUACUUGUCAACGACACUUGCAACUACGCCCUCGCCGCCUGAGCGACGCAGGGUCUGACCGCCAAAGCGGCCACGUCGUCGGGGACCACGCCUGAUACCCCCGGACGGCGACAUGCAUCAGGCUGGCGCAGGAUCGCCGCCCUCAAGGAUCCUCGCGCGAGACGCCACUUGGGGACAAACCGAUGCAGGCCCGGCCGGGGGCGACCGCAUCGCGAAAAGAACCCGGCCUAAGCCUGUAGACGCUCUGGCAGACACGUUUUCGGACGGGAGGUUCGAUCCUCCCCGCUUCCACCA
rnacentral:tmRNA from 1 species